rnacentral:rRNA from 1 species
CCUGGUUGAUCCUGCCAGUAGUCAUAUGCUUGUCUCAAAGACUAAGCCAUGCAUGUGCAAGUAUAAACGCUUGAAUCGUGAGACUGCGAAUGGCUCAUUAAAUCAGUUAUAGUUUAUUUGAUGGUGUUCCGCUACGUGGAUAACCGUGGUAAUUCUAGAGCUAAUACAUGCAAAAGGUCCCGACUGUCACGGGAGGGACGUAUUUAUUAGAUCCAAAACCGACCCGGUCGGUGCCUCACGGCCCGGCCGGCGUUCUCGGGUGAUUCAUGGUAACUGUUCGAAUCGCUCGGCCUCCGCGCCGGCGAUGGUUCAUUCAAGUUUCUGCCCUAUCAACUUUCGAUGGUAGCGUAUUGGGCUACCAUGGUCGCAACGGGUGACGGAGAAUUAGGGUUCGAUUCCGGAGAGGGAGCCUGAGAAACGGCUACCACAUCCAAGGAAGGCAGCAGGCGCGCAAAUUACCCAAUCCCGACUCGGGGAGGUAGUGACAAGAAAUAACAAUGCCGGUCCCAUAGAGGUCCGGCAAUUGGAAUGAGUACAAUCCAAACCCCUUAACGAGGAACAAUUGGAGGGCAAGUCUGGUGCCAGCAGCCGCGGUAAUUCCAGCUCCAAUAGUGUAUGCUAAAGCUGCUGCAGUUGAAGCGCUCGUAGUUGUACGUCGGGGCCCGGGCUCCGUCCUCCCUCGCGGAUGGGCGCCCCGCUCGGUCGUCGCGGUCCGCCGAGAGGCGAGCACUGCGCGGCGGCCCCCGUCUUUCUCGGGAGCCCCGGCUGCUCUUGACUGAGCGGUCGGGGGUUUCGGGACGUUUACUUUGAACAAAUUAGAGUGUUCCAAGCAGGCCGGUCGCUUUGAAUACGUUAGCAUGGAAUAAUGGAAUAGGGCCGCUCGUCCUAUUUUGUUGGUUUUCGGGACGGCAGUCAUGGUCGAUAGGGACAGUUGGGGGCAUUCGUAUUCAGUUGUCAGAGGUGAAAUUCUCGGAUUUGCGGAAGACGAGCGACUGCGAAAGCAUUUGCCAAGGAUGUUUUCAUUAAUCAAGAACGAAAGUUGGGGGUUCGAAGACGAUCAGAUACCGUCGUAGUCCCAACCGUAAACGAUGCCGGCCGGGGAUCGGCGGACGUCGGGUAC